UACAGAGGUCCCGAGCGUUAGGCGGAAUCACUGGGCUUAAAGCGUGUGUAGGCGGAUCGUUAAGUACCUUGUGAAAUCCCACGGCUUAACCGUGGAACUGCUUGGUAUACUGGCGGUCUUGAGCCACUUAGGGGCUACCGGAACAAAUGGUGGAGCGGUGAAAUGCGUAGAUAUCAUUUGGAACGCCAAUGGUGAAAACAGGUAGCUGGGAGUGUGCUGACGCUGAGACGCGAAAGCCAGGGGAGCAAACGGG
rnacentral:rRNA from 1 species